GUGCUUGCACAGAUGACGACCGGCGCACGGGUGCGUAACGCGUAUAGAACCUACCUUUUACAGAGGAAUAGCCUUUAGAAAUGAAGAUUAAUGCCUCAUAGUAUUGUAGACUGGCAUCAGUUUAUAAUUAAAGAUUUAUCGGUAAAAGAUGGCUAUGCGUCCUAUUAGUUAGUUGGUAAGGUAACGGCUUACCAAGACAGCGAUAGGUAGGGGUCCUGAGAGGGAGAUCCCCCACACUGGUACUGAGACACGGACCAGACUCCUACGGGAGGCAGCAGUGAGGAAUAUUGGACAAUGGAGGAGACUCUGAUCCAGCCAUGCCGCGUGUAGGAAGAAUGCCCUAUGGGUUGUAAACUACUUUUAUACAGGAAGAAACACUGGUAUGUAUACCAGCUUGACGGUAC
rnacentral:rRNA from 1 species